rnacentral:lncRNA from 1 species
GCGCAGCCUGUAAUCCCAGCUAUUUGGGAGGCUGAGGCAGGAGAAUCGCUUGAACCCAGGAGGCAGAAGUUGCAGUGAGCUGAGACCGCCCCUCAGCCUGGGCAAUAGAGCGAGACUUCACAGACCCUCGGAGUACAGUCAGAAAUUAUUACAUUUUUGAAUUUCCAUUUUGAUCUAAAAAUAAAUUGAUAUAUACCUAUUGGAGAUCAUCUGGGUGGCUUAUAAAAAUGAAUCAGUACCAAUCCUUUUAUCUGUCUCUGCUUAUGAUGGCAAUGUAUCUGUACCAGGUGAUCUCUGGAAGUGAUAACUUUUCAUGUAUUGUUUCUCAAACUGCAAUGCAAGGACAUAGCACUGGGAUAUAGGAGUUCUCAAAUUAAAGACCUUGGCCACACUAUGUUAUGCUGUCUUUCAGUUCAUCUUGAGUAAAUGAAUGAGAGUAACCAAGAAAAAAAAAAA